UGUGUAGGUGGCGCGCUAAGUCGGGUGUGAAAUUUCGGAGCUUAACUCCGAAACUGCAUUCGAUACUGGCGUGCUUGAGGACUGGAGAGGAGACUGGAAUUUACGGUGUAGCAGUGAAAUGCGUAGAUAUCGUAAGGAAGACCAGUGGCGAAGGCGGGUCUCUGGACAGUUCCUGACACUGAGACACGAAAGGCCAGGGGGAGCAAACG
rnacentral:rRNA from 1 species